rnacentral:rRNA from 1 species
GAUGAACGCUGGCGGCGUGCCUAAUACAUGCAAGUCGAGCGAACGGACGAGGAGCUUGCUCCUCUGAUGUUAGCGGCGGACGGGUGAGUAACACGUGGAUAACCUACCUAUAAGACUGGGAUAACUUCGGGAAACCGGAGCUAAUACCGGAUAAUAUUUUGAACCGCAUGGUUCAAUAGUGAAAGACGGUCUUGCUGUCACUUAUAGAUGGAUCCGCGCUGCAUUAGCUAGUUGGUAAGGUAACGGCUUACCAAGGCAACGAUGCAUAGCCGACCUGAGAGGGUGAUCGGCCACACUGGAACUGAGACACGGUCCAGACUCCUACGGGAGGCAGCAGUAGGGAAUCUUCCGCAAUGGGCGAAAGCCUGACGGAGCAACGCCGCGUGAGUGAUGAAGGUCUUCGGAUCGUAAAACUCUGUUAUUAGGGAAGAACAUAUGUGUAAGUAACUAUGCACGUCUUGACGGUACCUAAUCAGAAAGCCACGGCUAACUACGUG